GGGACUCGGACGCGGCCGGCGCGGCGCACGGCCUGGCGCCGACUGUCGACGCACACCACGCGCGCAGAUAUAAUGAUAUGGCGCCAAAGCACUGGGAGGAAGGCCCGCCACGUUACCACGGGCCCACUGAGUACGAGCGUCCUCCGCCAUACUACUAUCCCGGACCAAACGAUAGACAGUAAGCUCGCGCUCACGGACCUGGACGACGACCUGCUGAAGUUCUGAACGUACCGACAACCAAACGAUCAAGACAAUGUAUACCACGAGAGGGCCCACGACUAACACACGAUUAACUAUAGUUGUAGAGAAAAAAAAAAACAAAAUGAAACAAAAAAAAAAACUAUUUUUCUAGAGUAAUUA